UGCCCAGCAACUCAUAUCCAUACCUCCUCGUGGUACUGGCCGGGGUACGAGUAACCUUGGGGAAGAUCGGGUAACCAACCCCCGGUGGGAACUUUGGUCGUAUGCUGACAGGGAAGG
rnacentral:ribozyme from 1 species